GAUCAACGCUGGCGGCGCACAUAAGACAUGCAAGUUGUACGGACUUAAUCGAAAUAUUUAUAUUUUGAAGCGGUUAGUGGCGGACUGGUGAGUAACGCGUAAGGAACCUGCCUAUUAGAGGGGAAUAACAGUGAGAAAUCAUUGCUAAUACCGCAUAUGCCAUAGAUAUCACAUGAUAACAGUGGGAAAGGAGCAAUCCGCUAAUAGAUGGCCUUGCGUCUGAUUAGAUAGUUGGUGGGGUAACGGCCUACCAAGUCGACGAUCAGUAGCCGGACUGAGAGGUUGAGCGGCAACAUUGGGACUGAGAUACGGCCCAGACUCCUACGGGAGGGAGCAGUCGGGAAUAUUGCGCAAGGGAGGAGACUCUGACGGAGUGACGCCGCGUAUAGGAAGAAGGUUGUCGGAUUGUAAACUAUUGUCGUUAGGGAAGAGAAAGGACAGUACCUAAGGAGGAAGCUCCGGCUAACUACGUG
rnacentral:rRNA from 1 species